UUACAACCCUGCCCCUUAGGGGGGAGUAACAACGGGAAACGGUUGCUAAUACCGCGUACGAUUCACAGGCGGCAUCGCUUGUGAAUGAAAGGUGGCCUCUAUGUAUAAGCUAUCGCUGAAGGAGGGGAUUGCGUCUGAUUAGCUAGUUGGAGGGGUAACGGCCCACCAAGGCAAUGAUCAGUAGCCGGUCUGAGAGGAUGAACGGCCACAUUGGGACUGAGACACGGCCCAA
rnacentral:rRNA from 1 species